UGCUGGGAAUUGAACCCAGGACCUCGGCAAGAGUAGCCAGUGGUCUUAACCUGCUAAGCCAUCUCCCUAGCACCCCCUGUACAGAUUUGUGAGCUGGAACAUUGUGUGGUGUGCCAUAGAUGAUCUGUACAAGUAACCACAGUAGGUGGGCUAAGGACUCUCGUGUCCCUGGUGUUCUAUGCAGCAGUGUGCCUCUUGUCACCAGUGCUCAUUCUUGUUGGGUGAGCGUAGGUGCUUGAUUGUAGCAUUAUCAUCGGGUUAACAGUCGUCUCCGGUCAUACCUGACUUUGUUUUCUGUGGCUCUUCUCCCUACCACCAGCAUUACCAACAAAAGGUUCAUUAUUCUCUGCCCACUCUGCCUCCUGGGUUCUGUGGCUGUAGUUUGAAUCUACUUUAUAGGGAAAAUGGGCCUCACACUCUUAGACUGUCUGGACCAGUCCCUUCCCAUUUCUUGGUAAGGAAAUUGAGGCUCAGCAGUUUUGAGUGGCUUGCAUCAGAUCGUCCAGCUAGCACACGGAAGCGUGAGGACUAUAGCUGUGACAUUCCUAUUUCCAGUAUCCCCUGACACCAGCCCCCAAACUCCUCUUCCUCAUCGGCUCCUUACUAGGGACCAAGGGGAUGACUUUCCUUGAAUCUGGAAAUACCUGCUUCUUAGAAAGACUCAAGCCUAAGGUCCCUUUUCAUUUGGGAUUUCUAACCCAGUAAGGCAGAGGUUUCUUACUCAGAACUAAUAGAGACUAAGGGGAGAAAAAACAGGUGCAGAUGAUGCCAGUGAUGAUGUGACUCUGUCCUUUCCCAGCAUUUAGAGUUGGAUGUCUUUACAUCUUGUGAAUUUGCCUCAGUUGAGCUUACAAUUGUUUUUUAGAAACUCCUCAGUUGUUUUUAGAGCAGCAGAACAGGGAGACUGAACACCAGCUUGAGAGGCUGGGCCAGGAGACUAACAAAGGCGGUAUUGUGCUGCUCCUGGCAAAGCCAGUCAGUGAAUUCAAGAGACACCUAGAUGUGUUUCUAGAGGAGGGCAUGAUGGGGAGGGGUUUGGUGGAGAAGCAGAAAGGUGGGAUUAAGAUAAAUUAAAACGGGGCCAGCUUGCUGGAGAAGGGGGCCAUGUCUUCCUGUUCCUACUGCGUUUCAGACUUCUUGUUCUGCAUAUUUGAAAAGUUAAAAACCAGUCUAUACCAUGUACCUCAUGGUCGCUCUUUCAAAUCCUUCCUCUUUAGGGUAAAUUUGUCCCAAGGCUAUUUCAGCGUGUGCAGCAGAGGUUUUUAUUGCCUGAGUGCAAAUCAUCAGAUAUCGCUGGGAAUCUUAGACUUCCACAUGAAAAAGAAUCUUGAACUAACUGGUCCAAAGAGGCUCAGAUUUUUCUUCCUAUACCUGAAGCCUCCAUACCACUUGGGAGUUUAAGAGUCAGCUCUGAGUAGGGCCUGUGGUGGUGUGAGGGAGACUGCCCCCUAUAGGCUCAGAUGUCUGAAUACUUGUUCAUUGGUUAGUGGCAUUGUUUGGGUAGGUUUAGGAGGUGUGGCCUUGCUGGAGGAAGUAUGUCACUAUGGGCAGUCUCUGAGGUUUCAAAGCCACCUGCCAUUCUAGGUUUGCUCCCUCUGUGACCUCUUUGUGGUUCAGGAUGUGAGCCCUUAGCUUGUUGGUCCAGCCGCCAUGGACUCACCCUCUGGACCAUAAGCUCACACUUCUACAAGUUACCUUGGCCACUGGUCUAACCCUGUCUUUUACCUAAUGGAGAGCCAGAGAGAGAAGUCUAAAUCAGAAACUGACUGGGGAAGCCAGGCUGUCUGCUUGUCAGUUCUUAGAGCUCUUCCUGCUCAGGGGAGUAAGAACUCAUGUUGAAUGGCACUGAAGCAGACAGCCCUCGUGCAUCCUGGUUCACUGCUCCUGGCUCCUCUCAUUUUUUUCUUAGCUCCUAGAAGGGGGAAUUCCAUUUUUUCACUAAACAAAAAAUGGAUAAAUAAUUCCAACAUUCACCAUUUUAAAUGUGGUUUUGGGGCUGAUGAAAUGGCUGAUGACGUGAGGUUUAAUCUCAGGGGCACGAGAGGGAGAAGAAGAGAACUGACUCCCACAAGUCACCCUCUGACCACUGCAAGCCACAUGUAACUGCAGUACAUACUUGCCUGCACACAUGCAAAGAAUUCAACCUUCUGCAUCUGAGAGGACUGAAAAUCUUGCCUCGUGUUACGUCCCAGAGCUUAUGUUCUGCUUUUUUGUUUUUUAAAUAGCAGUUCAUCAAGCAUAACAUUUUACCUGUCUUGAUUUUAUUGUGGCCUGCUAGCUUCCAGCUACUAUGUUAAGCACCAGAGAUACAAGGAGGAUGACUAAGACUUCCUAGUCUAGCAGAAGACAAACAUAAACAUAAUUAUAAUAUUGAGAAAUUACAAUUAAAUGACUGAGAAUGCCAGAAGAGAGAGCUCAGGUUAGAUGACAUUUGGGGUGGCUUUCUGGGUGACUGAGUGUUACCGAGUAAGAGGGCAAAGCUUGACUUCAUUUGCUGGCCUUCCUCCUUUCCUGUGGCCGUGAAAGUGGCUUCUCGUUCUCUAGCUCUAUUUUGAUCCUUUUGCUUGUCUGAUAUUUACAGAUUUAUUGACUCAAGGGUCUGUACAAUACUAUAUUUUGUCCUGAGUACUGACCACACACAAACCCUCUUCCUUGUUUGGGUUUUUGUUGUUUGUCUUGAGAAAGGGUCCCUUUCUGUAGCCGUAGCUGACCUAGACUCUGUGUGGACCGAGCUAGCCUCGAACUUAGAGCUAUCUACCACCUCUGCCUCUCCAGUGCUGGGAUUAAAGCUGUGCACCACCA